GAGUUUGAUCAUGGCUCAGAUUGAACGCUGGCGGCAUGCCUUACACAUGCAAGUCGAACGGCAGCGCGGGAGCAAUCCUGGCGGCGAGUGGCGAACGGGUGAGUAAUAUAUCGGAACGUGCCCAGUAGUGGGGGAUAGCCCGGCGAAAGCCGGAUUAAUACCGCAUGAGACCUGAGGGUGAAAGCGGGGGAUCGCAAGACCUCGCGCUAUUGGAGCGGCCGAUAUCAGAUUAGCUAGUUGGUGGGGUAAAGGCCUACCAAGGCAACGAUCUGUAGUUGGUCUGAGAGGACGACCAGCCACACUGGGACCGAGACACGGCCCAGACUCCUACGGGAGGCAGCAGUGGGGAAUUUUGGACAAUGGGCGCAAGCCUGAUCCAGCAAUGCCGCGUGCAGGAAGAAGGCCUUCGGGUUGUAAACUGCUUUUGUCAGGGAAGAAAUCCUCUGGGAUAAUACCUCGGGGGGAUGACGGUACCUGAAGAAUAAGCACCGGCUAACUACGUGCCAGCAGCCGCGGUAAUACG
rnacentral:rRNA from 1 species